GCAAGUCGAGCGAGAAGACGUAGCAAUACGUUUGUAAAGCGGCGAACGGGUGAGGAAUACAUGGGUAACCUACCCUCGAGUGGGGAAUAACUAGCCGAAAGGUUAGCUAAUACCGCAUACGACUCUUGGUCUGCGGAUUGAGAGGGAAAGCGAUACCGUGGGUAUCGCGCUCUUGGAUGGGCUCAUGUCCUAUCAGCUUGUUGGUGAGGUAAUGGCUCACCAAGGCUUCGACGGGUAGCUGGUCUGAGAGGACGAUCAGCCACACUGGCACUGCGACACGGGCCAGACUCCUACGGGAGGCAGCAGUAAGGAAUAUUGCGCAAUGGGCGACAGCCUGACGCAGCGACGCCGCGUGGGGGAUGAAGGUCUUCGGAUUGUAAACCCCUUUCGGCAGGGAAGAUGGAAUGGGUAACCAUUCGGACGGUACCUGCAGAAGCAGCCACGGCUAACUUCGUGCCAGCAGCCGCGGUAAUACGAAGGUGGCAAGCGUUGUUCGGAUUUACUGGGCGUACAGGGAGCGUAGGCGGUUGUGUAAGCCCUCCGUGAAAGCUUCGGGCCUAACCCGGAAAGUGCGGAGGGGACUGCUCGGCUAGAGGAUGGGAGAGGAGCGCGGAAUUCCCGGUGUAGCGGUGAAAUGCGUAGAGAUCGGGAGGAAGGCCGGUGGCGAAGGCGGCGCUCUGGAACAUUUCUGACGCUGAGGCUCGAAAGCGUGGGGAGCAAACAGGAUUAGAUACCCUGGUAGUCCACGCCUUAAACGAUGGAUACUAAGUGUCGGCGGGUUACCGCCGGUGCCGCAGCUAACGCAGUAAGUAUCCCGCCUGGGAAGUACGGCCGCAAGGUUGAAACUCAAGGAAUUGACAGGGGCCCGCACAAGCGGUGGAGCAUGUGGUUUAAUUCGACGCAACGCGAGAACCUUACCCAGCUGGACAUGCAGUAGUAGAAGGUGAAAGCCUAACGAGGUAGCAAUACCAUCCUGCUCAGUGCUGCAUGGCUGUCGUCAGCUCGUGCCGUGAGGUGUUGGGUUAAGUCCCGCACGAGCGCAACCCCUGUCUUCAGUUACCAACGGGUCAUGCCGGGAACUCUGGAAGACUGCCCCCGAGAACAGGAAGAG
rnacentral:rRNA from 1 species